rnacentral:tRNA from 1 species
GAGGAAGAAGCUAUACAGCGUUUAACUGUUAAUUAAAAGAUAGCACUCAGUGCCUUCCUUU